AACGAACGCUAUCGGUAUGCUUAACACAUGCAAGUCGGACGGACUAAUUAGGGCUUGCUCCAAUUAUUUAGUGGCAGACGGGUGAGUAACACGUGGGUAUCUUCCCAUCAGUACGGAAUAACUUUUAGAAAUAAAAGCUAAUACCGUAUAUUCUCUACAUGGUAAAGAUUUAUCGCUGAUGGAUGAGCCCGCGUCAGAUUAGGUAGUUGGUGAGGUAACGGCUCACCAAGCCGACGAUCUGUAGCUGGUCUGAGAGGAUGAUCAGCCACACUGGGACUGAGACACGGACCAGAAUCCUACGGGAGGGAGCAGUAGGGAAUAUUGGACAAUGGGCGAAAGCCUGAUAAAGCAAUACCGAGUGAGAGAUAAAGGCGCUAGGGUUGUAAAGCUCUUUUAGCAAGGAAGAUAAUGACGUUACUUGCAGAAAAAGCACCGGCUAACUACGUG
rnacentral:rRNA from 1 species